AUUGAACGCUGGCGGUAUGCUUAACACAUGCAAGUCGAACGGUAACAGAACUAGCUUGCUAGUUGCUGACGAGUGGCGGACGGGUGAGUAACGCGUAGGAAUCUACCUUGUAGUGGGGGAUAACUCGAGGAAACUCGAGCUAAUACCGCAUAAUCUCUACGGAGCAAAGCGGGGGAUCUUCGGACCUCGCGCUAUAAGAUGAGCCUGCGUCGGAUUAGCUUGUUGGUGGGGUAAAGGCCUACCAAGGCGACGAUCCGUAGCUGGUCUGAGAGGACGAUCAGCCACACUGGGACUGAGACACGGCCCAGACUCCUACGGGAGGCAGCAGUGGGGAAUAUUGGACAAUGGGCGCAAGCCUGAUCCAGCAAUGCCGCGUGUGUGAAGAAGGCCUUCGGGUUGUAAAGCACUUUCAGUAAGGAAGAAAAGCUUAUGGUUAAUAGCCCUAAGUCUUGACGUUACCUACAGAAGAAGCACUGGGCUAACUCCGUGCCAGCAGCCGCGGUAAUACGGAGGGAGCGAGCGUUAAUCGGAAUUACUGGGCGUAAAGGGCGCGUAGGUGGCUUGGUAAGUUGGAUGUGAAAGCCCUGGGCUUAACCUGGGAAUUGCAUUUGAUACUGCAGAGCUAGAGUAUGGUAGAGGGAAGUGGAAUUUCCGGUGUAGCGGUGACAUGCGUAGAUAUCGGAAGGAACACCAGUGGCGAAGGCGACUUCCUGGGCCAAUACUGACGCUGAGGUGCGAAAAGCGUGGGGAGCAAACAGGAUUAAAGACCCUGGUAGGAGCGUUUGGGUUAAGUCCCGUAACGAGCGCAACCCUUGUCCUUAGUUGCCAGCACGUAAUGGUGGGAACUCUAAGGAGACUGCCGGUGACAAACCGGAGGAAGGUGGGGACGACGUCAAGUCAUCAUGGCCCUUACGACCUGGGCUACACACGUGCUACAAUGGUCGGUACAGAGGGUUGCCAAGCCGCGAGGUGGAGCUAAUCCCAGAAAACCGAUCGUAGUCCGGAUUGGAGUCUGCAACUCGACUCCAUGAAGUCGGAAUCGCUAGUAAUCGCGAAUCAGAAUGUCGCGGUGAAUACGUUCCCGGGCCUUGUACACACCGCCCGUCACACCAUGGGAGUGGGUUGCAAAAGAAGUGGGUAGACUAACCUUCGGGAGGUCGCUCACCACUUUGUGAUUCAUGACUGGGGUGAAGUCGUAACAAGGUAGCCGUAGGGGAACCUGCGGCU
rnacentral:rRNA from 1 species